UCGAUUUGACUUGACGGUUUGGUCUGUACACCCCUAACCACUGUAUCCUUGAGUUCUAUGGAAACAGGAAACUAAGUCUGGUGGAUGACUUGUGUCCAUUAGACCAGAGUGUGAUUAACAGCUCCCGUGGUUGAUGAUUGUUCUCAGCUCCUAUUAUUGGUGCUUGGGAUGGUCUAAUUGUUGUCUGACAGACU
rnacentral:snoRNA from 1 species